rnacentral:rRNA from 1 species
AUUGAACGCUGGCGGCAUGCUUUACACAUGCAAGUCGAACGGCAGCGAGGAGAAGCUUGCUUCUCUGUCGGCGAGUGGCGAACGGGUGAGUAUAGCAUCGGAACGUGCCAAGUAGUGGGGGAUAACCAAACGAAAGUUUGGCUAAUACCGCGUAAGCUCUAAGGAGGAAAGUAGGGGACCUAAAUAAGGCCUUACGCUAUUUGAUCGGCCGAUGUCGGAUUAGCUAGUUGGUGGGGGAAUGGCCCACCAAGGCAAUGAUCCGUAGCGGGUCUGAGAGGACGAUCCGCCACACUGGGACUGAGACACGGCCCAGACUCCUACGGGAGGCAGCAGUGGGGAAUUUUGGACAAUGGGGGAAACCCUGAUCCAGCCAUGCCGCGUGUAUGAAGAAGGCCUUAGGGUUGUAAAGUACUUUUGUUAGGGAAGAAAAGCUAGUUUUUAAUAAAAAUUAGUGAUGACGGUACCUAAAGAAUAAGCACCGGCUAACUACGUG